CGGCUGACACAAUUAAAUUACAACUCACUUUUCAUCAGAUCGAUUUUUUAGUUGCAUUGGCUAGAGCAUGCACUUUUACACCACCAUCUCGAAAUUCAGACACGGCGCUCGCACGAAUUUCUGCAGCUGUAGCAAUGGGCCGGUCAGCAGCACCCAGAUCGCCGUCUAUCUCUCAUCAGCGAGCGGGAAAAAGGAGUAGUAUUCGGUACGAAGGUAGUCAAGGCACUCUAGCCGAAAGUGUUACUACACGAUAACAAUCAAUAAUAUUCGGCAAUCAUGAUCGAGGCACGCACGCACACACACAGACACAACACAGUACGGAUCACAUCGUCCAGCUACUACCGGAUGCUCAUUGUUUUCCUUCAAAAGCAAAGCAAAGUGUUACUGUUACACUUUCACGGUUUCACCAGCGCACUUAAUUGACAUGAGAUCUCCCCGUCACCGUCGAAGAGUUCCAAAAGGUAAUUAGUAACACAGUUUUUUUUUUCCUGCAGGGGACCCUGAACAAGCAACAGGCAUAGGCAAGCUUCACGUGACAAGCAUAAAUACCAAUCAAAAAGAUGAAACGAAAGCAAUGCAAAACCAAAUCGUAGGAAUAGGGGACUGGUGCAUGGUAAGAUUUGUGAAUCGAACAAACAAAGGCAGAGGAGGUGAGGGGAGGUGGGAGAGAACCAAAUUCGCGUGAGUGACAGUACUCCAACCCCACCACCCCCAUGCAUGCGGCAUGCCCGGUGUGUAUUUAUUUCCCCAUGCUUUAAGGAAAGAAGAGACCAAAGAGAUCUCAACAAAGUGGGGGAGCAGCCGAGCCUCAUAGAGUAGAGGAGGGGGAGGUGCGAUGCCAAUCAAGAGAUGGUGCAACCACACCUAAAUUAUAUGCCUCUUCAGAUUGGCAGGAUGGUACCAAAGGGCCUCAUCUCUCCUGCCUGCAGCAUCACGCACGCAGUGCUGCUUUCAGAGAUCACUCCGCUCCACCCAACCAAACAAGCAGCCAGGCAGGCAUUAUUGCUGAGAAUUUUACAAGAAUGAGGAAUCCACGGCCGAGUACACUACCACGAACAGGAAGUAUGAUAACAAUAAAGGCAACUGCACAAGAAAUGUAUCAAGAAAAAUAUACUUCAACCACUGCCCAGCGUAUGCAAGUGCCCAUGAUGCACCUGCCUGAACUGCACGCCUUGACAGUGCACCAGCUUUUAAUUGCAACAAGAGAAGAGAUUCCAAGCCACGAUUUGAUUAGGCGGGCGGGCGGGCGGGCAGGCAAAGUGUGCAAACAAGCUCAUUUUCUUGUAGACUAAUGCGCCUUCUUUCGCAACUUCUCAGGAAUCAUGGCCAUCACCACACCACCACCGGUCUUUCUAUCUACUUAACGUGGUGCUCAAACCAAAGCAUAUGGGCCUUGUCAGAGAGAGCCCUUUCCUUUGGCCCCAAGCUCACACUUCUCCAUGCCAUCGCCACCUACUCUUCUGUUGCUCCCAUUAGCAUCCUUGUCUGCAUCCUUUUUUCUUGCGUUCCAUUCUUUCCUUUCGUAUAUAUCCUGCUCUUCUUGGUUGGAUAACCAACCAUGGCAGGCAGGCAGGCAGCUAGGCGUUGGACUUUUAAUUAUAGUAGUAGUAAGCGAUGUUACGGGGAGACUAGACUGAUGAGUGUUUCCAGGAGGAGCGCCAAUCGCCCUCACAUGCCCUGCUGCCUUUAUAUUAUCGCACUCCUCUGAACCCACCCUCUGAUCCUUCUCAUGCGAGCAAGCGAGCAAACCACCCGUCUUCUCUGGCCUCAACAGCGCCCACUGUCUCGCCAAUCUUGCUCCCCGCCCGUUUCCCUCUCCCCGCUACACGCCACAGCGCCCCUGUCCUCUUGUACGCGUGCAGUUUUUAAGAAAUCUGCACUGUGAAACGGCUCUCCUACAAGCGAGUGACCUGCUAGCUUGCAAGUGCACAGCGGAAGUCUGAGAGAGGGCCGAGGACAUCGCACCCAUCCAUCCCUUUGCGUGACCCAAGCAAGCUCAUGCGAGCAGUUAAGCGGACACAUAGUCUAGAUCGAUCGCCUUCAGCUAUUAAUCAAUGCGAGCAGCUGCAGGCAGGCAAAGCAAAGAGUGGACGGGUACCUGGCCGAUUGACAGCGCGCAUCGACCGGCAUGUGCAUCGUCGGCCCUUCCCUACGCGGGCCAUGUCACUAGCAUAUGCAUGCAUGGGGGGGCUCUGACCCUCAGAUUUGUUUGCAGUACUGCUAGCGUCCAGCAGUACGUUACACCACCAGCCCCAGCAGGCAGCAGCACCACGCAGCAGCGGCCACCAUUACUCACUCCUACCACCUCCACCCCACCGGUGAGGCCGUGGAUGGAUGGAUGGAUGGAUCCAGCGGCGAGUCAGACGCCUAAACCGUGAUGGACCGAUAUUAUUGUCAACUAACGUGUGCCCCCUGGCAUGCCCUUCCAAACGAAAAAGGAGGACGAGGGGUCGGCCCGGGGCGCUGUGCGCUGCGCUCCUUGCUUGCCCAUCUAGUCCACACCAGCGCUGCACUGUCUCUUUUGAUGCCAUGCCAUGCCGUGCCGUGCGCUCUCGUCUCAUGGGAGCCAAGAUCGAGGCCAGCCCAGCAUCGCACCUACUGACGCAGGAAAAUGCAUGGGACAAGGACGCUAGCUGGGCUACUGGAUGGAGCCUGGGCGCUCUCGGGGCAGGAGGAAAAAGGAAAAGAUUGAAAGGGGUCGCCGGUGUAGACGGGAAUUGAUGAGCUUGCACUUUGCGAAGCACAAGCAGAGGCAAGCAGGCAGGCCGGCCGGCCAACCCCUCUCUCUCUCUAGUGUAGUCCUGACUCCUCGCCAACCCACUUGAUGGCGAUCACAACUCCACAAGAGGCCACGCUGUUUAUUCACUGUGUGUUCAGUUAUCUUUGCCACCGGGCGUAUGAAUACAUGUUGUUUUUCAUAGCAGUGGGCAGUGGCAUCCAAUAAUUCGUUUAAGCCAGGGCGCCACAGAAACUGUGCUUGGAAUGAUAUAGGGCUAGUAUCCAAAAAGGGGCAAUUAACCGAUCGCCAUCUACGUUGUCACGCAUCCUCACUGUGCAAAUAUGCUGUGCAGACAUGAUCUAAUUUUUCUACAAACCAGGAGCAGGAGAAAGAUCACGCUUAGUUGGUCAAAUGUUGGCAUCCUAAUCAUGCUUCCCGGCCACACGCAAAGAAAACAAAAGGAAACAAGUAAUUGCUGUGUCCUCCACGUAUAAAAAAGCUUCACAAGAUGCCAGCUAGAAAAUUGUUUUGAAUGGAACCUAUCAAUGCUAUAGGUUUUGAAUAAAACUCGUCUAAAUAAGCACCAUGGUCAUUUCUUUCUAGACAGGCUUAGUUGUUCAAAUGAUGGCAUCCUAAUCAGGUUUCCCCCCACAUUAAAAAAGCAGAAGAUCAACUGAUUAAUUUUGUGUCUUAUGCAUCAGUGUUCUCCACCUAUUAAAGAAGCUUCACGAGAUGCCAGCUAGAAAAUUAUCUUGACACUAUCAUGCUGAUUAUGGUUUAUAUUAUAUACAGUACUACCUCCUUCGGCAGACAAUACAUCCUAAUCCCACCGUCAUUCGCGUCGACGAAAGAAGAACCCUACUGGUCGCCUCUUGCCUAGCUAGUUUAGAUGCUAAGAAGCAGAACCUAACACAGUUGAUGGCUAUUAGACUGUUAGUUGCACACAUACGCACAUGGCUGCACAGGAUCCUAAAAAUAAUCAUGCCUCAUGCAUGCAUGCCAAUUAUAUGGAGUGCAAAGCUAGAAAUGUUAUGUCAAAGACUCAGGCCACCUUAUGUAAGAUUGCAAUGUGGAAAAGAAACUUUGCAUGUUCCAACAAAUUAGAUGUUCUUAUUGUAAUAACACAUUAAAGUUGAAUUUGAUCAGAUAUCACCCACAAGUAUAUAUAAUGUACUCGCAGAGUUAUCACCGCACAUAAUACCAAAGCUAUAUCAAUAAAUGAAUUAUGUCACGGAUCACAAGGUCUUUGCAGCAAAAAAGAAAGAUGUCACGGGGUCUACCAAUAUCGGCUUUUGCUUGGAGAUCAAUUUGGUAAUCUAUGACAGCAUUAUCAAUUGUGAAGCUUGUACAUAAUCAUUUAAGAAUCAUUUUGUUGUUAUGGAUUUAUCCCACUGUACCUAUUUUCCCUUCACUUCUAUACUUGUACGUUAACCUAACUCAAUGAAAUAUAUCCUAGAAAAUGCGGACAUUUCAAUAUUAGUGCAUCCAUCACUUGAGAAAUCUUCAUGUUAAUUUAGUAAGGUAAGAUGCAUCAUUGCUCUGUUUAUCUUAAAGCAGAAGCAUGGGCUGCAUCAGGAUUCCCUCCCUCAGAUCUCUAUCGCCCUUGCUAGAUGCCAACCAUGAAACAUAAAGAGAGGAAGAGGUGCAAGAUAAGAGAAGGCGGGAAUAAAGAUGACAGUACUGAUGAGGAAAGCCACAAACAAUGGUUUCAGAGGUUGUACACAGCCAGUGCGAAACUGGGAACGGUAUCUUCUCCAUUAUAGUUAGGUCCCUAUAAACACUAUCUAGGAUCAUUAUAGUACUACUGAAAAACAGCGAGCUAGACCUAAUGGAUGCUUAGGUUCAUUCCUUUGAUGAGCAUGAUUCCACCAAGAGAAGCUAAAUGAAAGAAAGAAAGAUAGAGGAAAUAAAAGGAAGAAAGGAGUCAUCGAUGGCAAGGAAACUUUGGCAGGUAGAAAGAAGGGAUAGAAUUGUACCCCAGGAAGCCAUGGUGGGUUUGUUACAUGCUUGAGUUGGAUGAGCAAGAAGAUGCUAAACGGAAAGUCGAUAGACAGGGAUGGAUUGUCGUCAGUAACCGACUGUCAGAUAGCAACUGAGGCUGCUCUUCUGUAAAGAUGUCAAGUUUAGCUGUGAUCAUUUCCUGAACCAGCUUGUGUUGCCUCCAUUAGAAUUUGAAAGGUGGAUCUUCCAAGGGCAAUUUCUUUUAAUUAUUCGCUAACAUACGAGAAGUGGAGAUGGAGAUGUGCACGAUGAGUCAUCCUUGAUCCCCACCUGUCAAUUAGCAGGUAAUGGGAUUCCGACAAAUUUUCUACGGAGACAACACGGCAAAUAUGACUUUUCAUGGUCAUCUACUUUCUCAUGUAUACCGAACUUUUCAAUUAUAUUAGCAUAUCCAAAGUUAAUGCGCGUUCCUGGAUUUGACAUUUGUUGCUACCCAUGUCCACACUACAUAUGCAAUGUAGCUUACUUUGGACAGCACUGCAGACAACAAUGAAAGCAAUUGCAUAGACAGUGUUUUUGGCAGAUAGCUUAAGUUGGUGUUACAAUGUAUUUACUCAGUCCAUGAUCUUAAUUUAUUUGAGAAUUAACUAGUAAGCUUCUACUCAUACUUCCACGUGGUUAUCUGUAUCAGAGAUUAAAAAGUAAUUGUUCCAUCUAACAAGCUAGAUAAACUACUAGUUGCCUACACUAAACCGUGUCACAAUUAGGAAAAAGGAAAACUCUUCACAGCAGAACCAUUGCAGAAAUGUUGCCCAGAAAAAAAAAACAUAUUCCCAUCACCACUUGGCACUUGGGCCAAUAUGUCAAUCUGCCGUCGCGUAAUUUGGUACCACCCAUCAAUCUUUCUCAAUCUAAAAGGUUGGCAAAUGAGAGAGAUGGCCCAGCGGAGGAGGACCGUGGGCAACCAAAUCCAAACAAAUAUGCAGAUGGAACACUUACAUGAUAGACUAGCGAAAAACAAUCGAAAGUGGGUCAGUGGAUGCAAGAUUGCAAUGCAUAAAGCAUGCACCUUCGCAAAGGCUGCCAAGAUUAGAACACAUUGGUGCGCGGAGAGAACUAGCUAGCAGAAAUACAACAAAUCGAGAACAUGGGAGGAUCCUCACUUUAAAAAUAUUUUGGGAGGACAUAUCAUAUACUCCCUCCAUAAAGUAAUAUAAGAGCGUUUAGAUCACUACUUUAGUUAUCUAAAUGCUCUUAUAUUAGUUUACAGAGGGAGUAUGACCUAUGUGUGUUAGAGUUACCAUCAUAGCUCAAAGUUUCACACAUGGGAGUGGAUUGACAAAACUAUCCUGGUCAGUUAAAAUGAUGGUUCCGAAUUCUAACAGAGAUUUAGGAUAGAUUUCAGUUUAGGGAGCGACUCAAUUAUCUUUGCAAACGGCAUCUCUCCCAAAUUUACUAAACUGCAUAUCUCGAUAUAAACUAGCUCUGAGAAUCUCAGAUUACUGAAUUUGACGAACGAUUGCCCCUAUCGCGGCCAGGUAAAUUAUUUGGAGUAGCAUUUAAACAGCAAAGGGUAAAUAAUUUUGCUUACAAACCAAGUACGCACUGGGGAUUGGGGCAAGGCAGAGACGGCACGGCGCGACCAGAAAUUCACAGGUAAAUUUUUUGGAGUGGCAUUUAAACAGCAAAGGGUGAAUAAUUUUGCGUACAAACCAAGUACGCACCGGGGAUUAGGGCAAGGCAGAGAGGGGACGACGCGACCAGAAAUUCGCAGGAGACGGUGCAGCUUGCAGUGGCGGCCAAACGCAACUGACACUCUGAUACGGGAGAAUAUUGCGCGCCGAUGAAAACCGCCAAGAGCUCGCGAUCGUCUACCGGCAGCCCUGCUCCGGCACGGCGGCGCCGACGCGAGGCAGCGGAGAGACCGGUG
rnacentral:lncRNA from 1 species